GAACAACAAAUACAAAAGAUAUGGAUUUUAAGCUCUAAUAACUCUUAAUUCUUUGAGAAAAUGAAAAUAUAACUUCUUGGCUAUUGCACUCUUGAUUUAUCAACUUUUUAGUGUGUUAGAGAGCCCAAUUUAUAGAGGAAUUGAAGAACUAGCCAUCAAAGAUGGUUUGGAGGAAGAAAUACCCGUUGGAAGCUUGAAAAAACUAAUUGUUAAGAGUGUUUCUCG
rnacentral:lncRNA from 1 species